rnacentral:lncRNA from 1 species
AUUCUUUAACAGGAAGCUCUGUGAGAGUCAGCCCAGGCAGGCAAAUCGCUCCUCACCCUCCUGUCCCUCUCGGGAUGGACAGAGCCUCAGUGGGGCUGCAGAGCCACAAGCCACCGAGAAGAUGCUGGCUCUGUCCGUCCAUCCACUCCUCUGGCUGUUGGGCUGCGCGCUGUGCCAAGGUACUACAACAUCCAACUCUGUCCACACUGUAACAGGUCAAUCCCAAACAACACCACAAAGCCCGGAAGUAAAGAACCAUACCACAGAGCCUUUAGUAAACUCAACACUACCAACCAACUUGAGUCUCACCUCUGUGGGUCGAGCUACUACAGCCAAAUCCUCUUCCAUCACUACAAAACUGCCAGAGCUGACUGCGCAAGGUAAGCAUGGAAAAUUCAAAUUUUUGCUCAGGCAGGACUUGUUUACGCAUCCC